AGCGAACGCUGGCGGCAGGCCUAACACAUGCAAGUCGAACGAACUCUUCGGAGUUGGUGGCGGACGGGUGAGUAACACGUGGGAACGUGGCCUUUGGUACGGGAUAACACAGGGAAACUUGAGCUAAUACCGGAUGUGCCCUUCGGGGGAAGGAUUUAUCGCCAUUGGAGCGGCCCGCGUCUGAUUAGCUAGUUGGUGAGGUAAAGGCUCACCAAGGCUACGAUCAGUAGCUGGUCUGAGAGGAUGAUCAGCCACAUUGGGACUGAGACACGGCCCAAACUCCUACGGGAGGCAGCAGUGGGGAAUCUUGCGCAAUGGGCGAAAGCCUGACGCAGCCAUGCCGCGUGAAUGAUGAAGGUCUUAGGAUUGUAAAAUUCUUUCACCGGGGACGAUAAUGACGGUACCCGGAGAAGAAGCCCCGGCUACCUUCGU
rnacentral:rRNA from 1 species